rnacentral:rRNA from 1 species
GACGAACGCUGGCGGCGUGCUUAACACAUGCAAGUCGAACGGAAAGGCCCUGCUUUUGUGGGGUGCUCGAGUGGCGAACGGGUGAGUAACACGUGAGUAACCUGCCCUUGACCUUGGGAUAACUUCAGGAAACUGGGGCUAAUACCGGAUAGGAGCUCCUGCUGCAUGGUGGGGGUUGGAAAGUUUCGGCGGUUGGGGAUGGACCCGCGGCUUAUCAGCUUGUUGGUGGGGUAGUGGCUUACCAAGGCUUUGACGGGUAGCCGGCCUGAGAGGGUGACCGGCCACAUUGGGACUGAGAUACGGCCCAGACUCCUACGGGAGGCAGCAGUGGGGAAUAUUGCACAAUGGGCGGAAGCCUGAUGCAGCAACGCCGCGUGCGGGAUGACGGCCUUCGGGUUGUAAACCGCUUUCGCCUGUGACGAAGCGUGAGUGACGGUAAUGGGUAAAGAAGCACCGGCUAACUACGUG